rfam:Gossypium hirsutum cultivar TM-1 chromosome 11, whole genome shotgun sequence
AAUCCAUGAUGGGGGCACUUUCUCAGAAGAUCCAUAAAUCUCUUUAAUGCAUCAUACAAUGUCUCAAGCUCGAGUUGAGAAAAAAGAGGAGAUGUCAUUCCUUAACUU